rnacentral:rRNA from 1 species
UACGAAGGGGGCUAGCGUUGCUCGGAAUCACUGGGCGUAAAGCGCACGUAGGGCGGAUCUUUUAAGUCAGGAGGUAGAACUACCCGCAAGGCAUCCAACCUUGGAACUGCCUUUGAUACUGGGGAUCUUGAGUCCCGGGAGAGGUGAGUGGAACUGCGAGUGUAGAGGUGAAAUUCGUAGAUAUUCGCAAGAACACCAGUGGCGAAGGCGGCUCACUGGCCCGGUACUCGACGCUGAGGUGCGAAAGCGUGGGGAGCAAAC